UGCACGGUGUUGCAGUUGGUAGCACUGUUGCCUUGUUGCCUUGCAGCAAGAAGGUCCUGGGUUCGACUCCUGGCUGGGGGUCUUUUCUGCAU